rnacentral:rRNA from 1 species
CCUACGGGUGGCAGCAGUGGGGAAUAUUGGACAAUGGGGGCAACCCUGAUCCAGCCAUGCCGCGUGUGUGAAGAAGGCCCUAGGGUUGUAAAGCACUUUCAGGGAGGAAGAACGCCUGGUGGUUAAUACCCAUCAGGAAAGACAUCACCCACAGAAGAAGCACCGUCUAACUCCGUGCCAGCAGCCGCGGUAAUACGGAGGGUGCGAGCGUUAAUCGGAAUUACUGGGCGUAAAGCGAGCGUAGGUGGCUUGAUAAGCCGGUUGUGAAAGCCCCGGGCUCAACCUGGGAACGGCAUCCGGAACUGUCAAGCUAGAGUGCAGGAGAGGAAGGUAGAAUUCCCGGUGUAGCGGUGAAAUGCGUAGAGAUCGGGAGGAAUACCAGUGGCGAAGGCGGCCUUCUGGACUGACACUGACACUGAGGUGCGAAAGCGUGGGUAGCAAACAGGAUUAGAUACCCCGGUAGUC